CCUACGGGAGGCAGCAGUGGGGAAUAUUGGGCAAUGGGCGCAAGCCUGACCCAGCAACGCCGCGUGAAGGAAGAAGGCUCUCGGGUUGUAAACUUCUUUUCUUCGGGACGAAACAAGUGACGGUACCGGAGGAAUAAGCCACGGCUAACUACGUGCCAGCAGCCGCGGUAAUACGUAGGUGGCAAGCGUUAUCCGGAUUUACUGGGUGUAAAGGGCGUGUAGGCGGGGAAGCAAGUCAGACGUGAAAUCCACGGGCUCAACCCUGGACCUGCGUUUGAAACUGUGCUUCUUGAGUUCUGGAGAGGCAGGCGGAAUUCCGUGUGUAGCGGUGAAAUGCGUAGAUAUACGGAGGAACACCAGUGGCGAAGGCGGCCUGCUGGACAGUAACUGACGCUGAGGCGCGAAAGCGUGGGGAGCAAACAGGAUUAGAUACCCUUGUAGUC
rnacentral:rRNA from 1 species